CAGGUUUGUUAACCUGCAGGGGCUGCCACUGUCUUCCUUCAGGAUGCCCUACAUUCACUUCAAAAAACAAGGGUGUCAGUUUCCAGCAAAAUAAUCCAGGAAGAAGUCCAGGUCUUACUGUCUAAUAUUAGGCUCAAUGCUGUGCUGAAAGAUGUGAGGCCGGGAGACAUACUGAUGACCUGCUUUACUGAUGUUGUUGCCAACACCUACAAACCAUUCACUACAACUACCACAACAAACAUUAAACUGAUAAUGCAGAAAAUCUGAGCUACCUUUGUGAAAGAGGCCAAGAGAGGAUUGGAUGGUGAAGUUUCAGAUGACACAAUGCUGACUGUUUCCACAGAGCUGAUUUUGCUUCCUACUGGCAGCAGAAGGAAGUCUUCAC